rnacentral:rRNA from 1 species
UACUCCUACGGGAGGCAGCAGUAGGGAAUCUUCGGCAAUGGACGGAAGUCUGACCGAGCAACGCCGCGUGAGUGAAGAAGGUUUUCGGAUCGUAAAGCUCUGUUGUAAGAGAAGAACGAGUGUGAGAGUGGAAAGUUCACACUGUGACGGUAUCUUACCAGAAAGGGACGGCUAACUACGUGCCAGCAGCCGCGGUAAUACGUAGGUCCCGAGCGUUAUCCGGAUUUAUUGGGCGUAAAGCGAGCGCAGGCGGUUAGAUAAGUCUGAAGUUAAAGGCUGUGGCUUAACCAUAGUACGCUUUGGAAACUGUUUAACUUGAGUGCAAGAGGGGAGAGUGGAAUUCCAUGUGUAGCGGUGAAAUGCGUAGAUAUAUGGAGGAACACCGGUGGCGAAAGCGGCUCUCUGGCUUGUAACUGACGCUGAGGCUCGAAAGCGUGGGGAGCAAACAGGAUUAGAUACCCUGGUAGUCCACGCCGUAAACGAUGAGUGCUAGGUGUUAGACCCUUUCCGGGGUUUAGUGCCGUAGCUAACGCAUUAAGCACUCCGCCUGGGGAGUACGACCGCAAGGUUGAAACUCAAAGGAAUUGACGGA